AAUCUGCUACAAACUGCUUCCACAAAAGUGAUCGUCAAUGGAGUGCCAACAAAAAGCUUCGGGCAUGCAUGCGGCUUGCGCGAAGGGGACCCUGUCUCUCCCUUGUUGUUCAUAAUUGCAAUGGACGUGCUGACAAAGCUGGUUCAGAAAGCUUUGGACAACGGAGUCCUAAGUGCAUUACCGGGAGUCUCGGCCAUGCAAAGGGUCUCAGUGUACGCGGAUGACGUGGCUUUGUUCAUCAAGCCAUCAAUUCAGGAUCUGUGGUGUGUCAAAACCAUGCUCGACGCUUUUGGGGAGGCU
rnacentral:rRNA from 1 species